GAGUUCUCCCUGAGACUUWRRGUCUCCUGAAGGAACGUUGAAGACGACGACGUUGAUAGGCCGGGUGUGUAAGCGCAGCGAUGCGUUGAGCUAACCGGUACUAAUGAACCGUGAGGCUUAACCUU
rnacentral:rRNA from 1 species